CACCUGGGGAAGGACACAACAGAAACAGGACCGAGUGAAACCCACCACCACCACAGACAGGGUAUUGGUCAAACCCCCCACCACACAGGCAGGGUAUUGGUCAAACCCCCCCACCACCACCACACAGACAGGGUAUUGGUCAAACCCCCCACCACACAGGCAGGGUAUUGGUCAAACCCACAACCCACACACACAGACAGACAGCAAGCCUACAUGUUGCAUAAUUAGCCAUCAUGAUAUACAACCAACAUAUUGACGUAACACACUCAACCUAACCUACUACACAGACACAUAACAGUUUCAAAAUUCCGGGGUACACAUGAGUAAUCAAAAGCCAACAUUGCUACAAUGCCAGUGCAGGACUGAUGGCCGUCGUUAUGAAAGACUAGUGUGACUACUAUACCCAGCUAGCUAGGUGAACUUUCAACUUUGACAGCAGGCAAUUGAUUGACUACGAAAGUCUUGCUAAAAACCAGCCAUCCUUAACGGCGUUGGUAUAAAGCGGAUGUUUCUGUUUUUUCAAGGAUACAGUAUUUUCAACCUAACUUGUCAGGCGUCUUUCGACUUCAGGUUAAAAGCUAGCUAGCUUGCACAGCGAGCCAACAUUCCCAAACAGCCUGGGAAAUCCAACGUUGAAUUUAGAUUUCACCGCUUGUUUCUAGACUAAAGCAUGAUCGGUAUAAACAACCGUGAAUUGUAAAUAAUUUAAAAAAAAUAAUGUACCCCUCAAAACAAGCAGGGUCCCGCACCCCCCGACGAUAUAUUGUACACCCUUGGUUGGGGACCUUUGCUCCAGGUAAGAGACAUUAGAACUGCACAACCAGCACUUUGAAAAGUUUGUAAUUAUACUUUUCUGGACAUUGUGCAUCUCAUUCCUACAUGCAAAAAAACACCGGUAAAGUACGUUAAAAAAACAAACAUUUGAUUCAACAUUAUGGCUUGUAAAGGUCGUGAGAGUUGAACUUUCCUAAUCGACUCUCUCAAUUAUGCCCGACGUUGACUCCAACGUCAGAUCUCCAGGCUAUGCCAAAUAACGUUACAGCUCGUCAACAAUACUGUACCUAGCAGAGGUCAGAACUGAGCCGACAAGGUUGUUCAUUAUCUGUUUUUAGAAACUAAUCAAAUAAUUUGACUUGUACAUUACGCUGGUAGAUUAUUUUUUACAUGCUAAAAAUGGAGCUAGCUAACUAUACUGUGUAAGACAUUACAGGCCCUCGUCCAUGGCUAAUUUGAUGACAGUGCAUUCACAACCUGUGAGUGUAACGUUGGCAAGAUAGAAGGGAAAGUGAAACGGAAGUGUGAGAGAAUCCCCAGUGACACAGCCUCUCAGAGAAACCCUCAGCUGUUCAAAUAUGAGAACUGUAGAGAACCACCACAGAACCUGGACUGAAGAGAGAACCACCACAGAACCUGGACUGAAGAGAGAACCACCACAGAACCUAGUGAGCUGCGUUCAGGGGAUCUACGUGUUUGAGGGUUUGAGUUGGAAGCAGACGUUGCAAUUUUAUGUUUUUGAAUGAUAGAGGUUCUAAAUGUUCUUUAUGAGUAGUGAUCCCAGGGUGGUAACAUUCUAAAUUAUUUCAAUGGGUCUUUCUCCAUUCUGAUUGAAUUGAACAGUAUAAUACAAAUUCACUCAUUUGAGGUCAUUUCCACACAGGGCUGCACAAUAUGGGCAGACAAUCUAAGCCUUAUUUUUAAAUGUUGCAAUUACGGUUUGACUUGUGAUUCAGAGGAAAACACUUUGGUGAACUGUUGGAAUCAAGGAUGUGUAAUCAAUGACUAUUCUAAUUCUAUAGAUAGAAUAUCAUAAUUUGUAUUUAUUUUCUAUUUAACUAGGCAAGUCAGUUAAGAACCAAUUCUUACUUACAAUGACGUCCUACCCCGGCCAAACCUUAACCCGGACGACGCUGAGCCAAUCGUGCGUGACAGUAACCCCCCAGUCGGAGCAUGUGUUGAGUUCCACAUAUUUAUUUAAAGUGAAACCUCUUCAACAACACAAGCAACAAAACCAAACAAUAUCCCACAACCCAAGUUGGAACAAUGGAGAACUUAAAUAUGAUCCCUGUCACGUUCCUGACCGGUUUUCUGUUAUUUUGUAUGUGUUUGACGGUCAGGGCGUGAGUUUGGGUGGGUAGUCUAUGUUGUGUGUUUCUAUGUUUGUUAAAGGGUGACCUGAUAUGGUUCUCAAUUAGAGGCAGGUGGUUUUCAUUUCCUCUGAUUGAGAGUCAUAUUAAGGUAGGUGUUUUCACACUGUUUGUUUGUGGGUGGUUGUCUCCUGUGUCAGUGUUUGUCUCCUGUGUCAGUGUUUGUCGCGCCACACGGGACUGUCUCGGUUUAUGUAGUCUGUUCGUGAGUUCUUCGUGUUUUAUGUAAGUUCCAUGUCCAGUUCCAUGUCCAGGUCUGUCUACUCCGUUUUGUUAUUUUGUUAAUUAUUCAAGUGUUUUCGUUUCGUGUUUUUUCGUCUUUAAAUAAAUCAUGUCAUAACAACGCUGCGUUUUGGUCAAAUCCCUGCUCCUCCUCUUCGGAUGAAGAGGAGGAAGAAAGCCGUUACAAUCCCGAAUUAGAGACAACAAUAAUCAGCUGCCUCUAAUUGGGAAUCAUAUCAAGUACACCAACAUAGAAAUAGGAAAACUAGAACACCCCCCCCCUAGUCACACCCUGACCUACAAUACCAUUGAGAGCCCUUGGCUCUCUAUGGCAGGGGUGUCAAACUCAUUCCACGGAGGGCCUAGUGUCUGCAGGUUAUUGGUUUUUCCUUUCAAUAAAGCCCUAGACAACCAGGUGUGGGGAGUUCCUAACUAAUUAGUGAUGUUAAUUCAUCAAUCAAGUACAAGGGAGGAGCGAAAACCCGCCGACACUCGGCCCCCCGUGGAAUGAGUUUGACACCUGUGCUCUAUGGUAUUGUAGGUCAGGGUGUGACUAGGGGGGUGUUCUAGUUUUCCUAUUUCUAAAAAGUCAAAAAAAUAAUAAUUCUAAGACACAAAAAUAGAAACAGAAAUUCCUUAUUUACAUAAGUAUUUCGACGCUUUGCUAUGAGACUCUAAAUUGAGUUUAGAUGCUUCCUGUUUCCAUUGAUCAUCCCUGAGAUGUUUCUACAACUUCAUUGGAGUCCACCUGUGGUAAAUGCAAUUGAUUGGACAUGAUUUGGAAAGGCAAACACCUGUCUACAUAAGGUCACACAGUUGACAGGGCAUGUCAGAGCAAAAACAAAGCCAUGAUGUUGAAGGAAUUGUCCGUAGAGCUCUGAGACAGGAUUGUGUUGAGGCACAGAUCUGGGAAAGGAUACCAAAACAUUUCUGCAGCAUUGAAGGUCCCCGAGAACACAUUGGCCUUCAUCAUUCUUAAAUGGAAGAAGUUUGGAACCACCAAGAGUCUUCCUAGAGCUGGCUGCCAGGCCAUUCUGAGCAAUCGGGGUAGAAGGGCCUUGUUCAGGGAGGUGACCAAGAACCCAAUGGUCACUACGACAGAGCUCCAGAGUUCCUCUGUAGAGAUGGUAGAACCUUCCAGAAUGGCAACCAUCUCUGCAGAACUCCACCAAUCAGGCCUUCAUGGUAGAGUGUCCAGACGGAAGCCACUCCUCAGUAAAAGGCACAUUUGAAGUUUGCAAAAGGCACCUAAAGGACUCUCAGACCAUGACAAACUGUCACGACUUCCGCCGGAGUCAGUCCCUCUCCUUGUUCAAGCGACGUUUGGCGGUUGACGUCACCGGCCUUCUAGCCAUCACCGAUCCACUUUUCAUUUUCCAUUUGUUUUGUCUUGGUUUUUUACACACCUGGUUUCAAUUCCCCCAUUACAUGUUCAUUAUUUAACCCUCUGUUUCCCCCAUGUUUGUGUGCGUGUUUGUUUUAUUGUAAGGCUGUAUCUGACGGCUGGUAUAUUGUUACCGGGUUUUGUUAUUUACGCCCGUUUAUUUCAUGGUAAGGCUAUACAUUAUAUUAUACGUAUGACCAGAAUGCAAUUCUUUAAUCUAUACAUAUACGAAUUCAACAGAUUUUUUUGUUGUUGAAAUUAACAAAUUAUUUUCUUUUGUUGAAUUUAUAUAACAACAUUCCAACCUUGUUAAGCAUUAUCCAGUCUAAUGGUGGCAUGAUUCCACCAUUUUCAUCCGUUUUGCAUCAGUUUCAUUUGGGGACUCUUAUUUAGAAGGCGAACAGUCAAUUGUACUAUUUUUGCUCACGCUAAUGUUGUUCAAGACACAAAACACACACACUGUCCGGUCCGCCUCCCGCUGCUGCUGUGUCACGAUCCAAUGAGCAACGGGCUGAAGGCAUGCUGCUAGAGCUACUGUCAUGUACCCUUUCAGAUACACAUCAAGGUAGGUAGAUACAUGAAACCCCAAGACGUAGUAGUUAAUUAACACUUUGUUUGUGUGUGGGUUCAUCUUUCAUCAGUUCCAUGGUGAUUGUCAACGUGUUUUACGGUGUCGCAACCCCAAAGAGCAAACAGAAGCAGUUGCCAGGGAAAAAGCUCCCUAGAAAAGAGGAAACGUAUUUUGUUUGAACCCGAGUUAUAUAAAGUAUAGCCUAUAACAUGACCAUGAUCUAGUUUUGUGUGUGAUUGAUUGCUUGAAAACGUUAUAUACUGUUUGUCCUCCUGUCUCUUCCAUGCUGACUGUUACUUGUUAACAUACUGUCAUGUACCAAUAACACAAUAGAAGUGCCCUCACAGGAACAUAAAUCUUUAAUUGAUCAAACCUCUGAAGGGAAGUUUGUAACUAACUCCAUUCCCCCCUAAAAAAGAUUAGUGGAAUGGUGUAGUUUCUUUGUUGGCCACUGGAGUGCGAUAGAGUUUAACUUGUUAAAUGACUGUUUAUUUUUAAGCGCAGGUAACCACAUAGCAGAAUAACAACUCGGUUAGUAGUCUGCCAGAAGAAACUACACAGACAGCUAAACAUGUCAAAAUAAAAUACCGCCCGAAA